rnacentral:rRNA from 1 species
ACUCAAAUGAAUAGACGGGGACCCGCACAAGCGGUGGAGCGUGUGGUUUAAUUCGAAGAUACGCGAAGAACCUUACCAAGGUUUGACAUUCCGAGAAGUCUGCCGAAAGGCGGAUGUGCCGCAAGGAACUCGGUAACAGGUGCUGCAUGGCUGUCGUCAGCUCGUGUCGUGAGAUGUUAGGUUAAGUCCUUCAACGAGCGCAACCCUCGUGGCUAGUUGUAUAUAUCUAGUCAGACUGCCUCGGUAACGGGGAGGAAGGAGAGGAUGACGUCUGGUCCGUAUUGCCCUUACACCUUGGGCGACACACACGCUACAAUGGCCGGUACAACGGGCUUUUGCCAAAUCGUAAGAUGGAGCUAACCCCAUCAAAACCGGUCUCAGUUCGGAUCGGGGGCUGAAACUCGCCCCCGUGAAGUCGGAAUCGCUAGUAAACGCAGGUCAGCCACACUGCGUUGAAUACGUUCCCGGGUCUUGUACACACCGCCCGU